rnacentral:rRNA from 1 species
UAGGGAAUCUUCCACAAUGGGCGCAAGCCUGAUGGAGCAACACCGCGUGAGUGAAGAAGGGUUUCGGCUCGUAAAGCUCUGUUGUUAAAGAAGAACACGUAUGAGAGUAACUGUUCAUACGUUGACGGUAUUUAACCAGAAAGUCACGGCUAACUACGUGCCAGCAGCCGCGGUAAUACGUAGGUGGCAAGCGUUAUCCGGAUUUAUUGGGCGUAAAGAGAGUGCAGGCGGUUUUCUAAGUCUGAUGUGAAAGCCUUCGGCUUAACCGGAGAAGUGCAUCGGAAACUGGAUAACUUGAGUGCAGAAGAGGGUAGUGGAACUCCAUGUGUAGCGGUGGAAUGCGUAGAUAUAUGGAAGAACACCAGUGGCGAAGGCGGCUACCUGGUCUGCAACUGACGCUGAGACUCGAAAGCAUGGGCAGCGAACAGGAUUAGAUACCCUGGUAGUCCAUGCCGUAAACGAUGAGUGCUAGGUGUUGGAGGGUUUCCGCCCUUCAGUGCCGGAGCUAACGCAUUAAGCACUCCGCCUGGGGAGUACGACCGCAAGGUUG